GAUGAACGUCGAUGAGUCAAUUGACCUUUUUCACGGACUGUAACUAUUUCCAAAGAAGCUCAGAAAAUGCGAUCCGAGGUGCAAAAAAUGGGGAGUUCCCAUUGAGAAGAUCUGUAAGAAAACACAGCGAGAGAAGUUUGCCUGGGAUAUCGACAUGGCAGAUGAGAACUUUGUUUAGUUUUUGGUGAGAGAUGGGGGAAAUAAAAAGGGCCAGACCUCAGAGUGAGGGAGUGACAGCCGAGCUUCACAGCUGUUGAGAGACGGGGGAAAUAAAAGGGGCCAGACCUCUGAGUGAGGGAGAGAGAGCCGACUUCAGAGCUGUGUGUGUGUUACAGAACUGUUGCACUGAAAAGCAC